GAUGAACGCUAGCGGCGGGCCUAAUACAUGCAAGUCGGACGGGAAGGAGGAGCUUGUUUCUGGUGAGAGAGGGGCACGCGGGCGUAACACGCAUGUAUCCUCCCUCUAUCACGGGGGUAGCCUCUCGAAAGAGAGGUUAUGCCCGCAGAUAAUCACACCACAGCAUUGUGGAGUGAUCGAAAAUUUGGAGGGUGGAGAUGGGCAUGCGGGUCAUUAGCUAGUUGGUGGGGGAACGGCCGACCAUGGCGUUGGUGGGUAGGCGGCCUGAGAGGGUGGCCGGCCAAAUGGGGACUGAGAUACGGGCCGGACUCCUACGGGAGGCAGCAGUGUGGAAUAUUGCACAAUGGGCGGAAGCCUGAUGCAGGAACGCCGCGUGCGGGAUGACGGCCUUCGGGUUGUAAACCGCUUUCGCAGGUGACGGAGCGUGAGUGACGGUACUGGGUAAAGAAGCACCGGCUAACUACGUG
rnacentral:rRNA from 1 species